AUGAACGCUAGCUACAGGCUUAACACAUGCAAGUCGAGGGGCAUCAGGAAGAAAGCUUGCUUUCUUUGCUGGCGACCGGCGCACGGGUGAGUAACACGUAUCCAACCUGCCCUUUACUCGGGGAUAGCCUUUCGAAAGAAAGAUUAAUACCCGAUAGCAUAAUGAUUCCGCAUGGUUUCAUUAUUAAAGGAUUCCGGUAAAGGAUGGGGAUGCGUUCCAUUAGGUUGUUGGUGGGGUAACGGCCCACCAAGCCUUCGAUGGAUAGGGGUUCUGAGAGGAAGGUCCCCCACAUUGGAACUGAGACACGGUCCAAACUCCUACGGGAGGCAGCAGUGAGGAAUAUUGGUCAAUGGGCGCUAGCCUGAACCAGCCAAGUAGCGUGAAGGAUGAAGGCUCUAUGGGUCGUAAACUUCUUUUAUAUAAGAAUAAAGUGCAGUAUGUAUACUGUUUUGUAUGUAUUAUAUGAAUAAGGAUCGGCUAACUCCGUGCCAGCAGCCGCGGUAAUACGGAGGAUCCGAGCGUUAUCCGGAUUUAUUGGGUUUAAAGGGAGCGUAGGUGGACUGGUAAGUCAGUUGUGAAAGUUUGCGGCUCAACCGUAAAAUUGCAGUUGAUACUGUCAGUCUUGAGUACAGUAGAGGUGGGCGGAAUUCGUGGUGUAGCGGUGAAAUGCUUAGAUAUCACGAAGAACUCCGAUUGCGAAGGCAGCUCACUGGACUGCAACUGACACUGAUGCUCGAAAGUGUGGGUAUCAAACAGGAUUAGAUACCCUGGUAGUCCACACAGUAAACGAUGAAUACUCGCUGUUUGCGAUAUACAGUAAGCGGCCAAGCGAAAGCAUUAAGUAUUCCACCUGGGGAGUACGCCGGCAACGGUGAAACUCAAAGGAAUUGACGGGGGCCCGCACAAGCGGAGGAACAUGUGGUUUAAUUCGAUGAUACGCGAGGAACCUUACCCGGGCUUAAAUUGCAGUGGAAUGAUGUGGAAACAUGUCAGUGAGCAAUCACCGCUGUGAAGGUGCUGCAUGGUUGUCGUCAGCUCGUGCCGUGAGGUGUCGGCUUAAGUGCCAUAACGAGCGCAACCCUUAUCUUCAGUUACUAACAGGUCAUGCUGAGGACUCUGGAGAGACUGCCGUCGUAAGAUGUGAGGAAGGUGGGGAUGACGUCAAAUCAGCACGGCCCUUACGUCCGGGGCUACACACGUGUUACAAUGGGGGGUACAGAAGGCAGCUAGCGGGUGACCGUAUGCUAAUCCCAAAAGCCUCUCUCAGUUCGGAUCGAAGUCUGCAACCCGACUUCGUGAAGCUGGAUUCGCUAGUAAUCGCGCAUCAGCCACGGCGCGGUGAAUACGUUCCCGGGCCUUGUACACACCGCCCGUCAAGCCAUGGGAGCCGGGGGUACCUGAAGUACGUAACCGCAAGGAUCGUCCUAGGGUAAAACUGGUGACUGGGGCU
rnacentral:rRNA from 1 species